UUACGGCCAUAUCUCGUUGAAAACAUCAGUUCCCGUUUAAUCAGUGAAGUUAAGUAACGUCGAGCCUGGUCAAUACUUCUAUGAGCGGCCGCUUGGGAAUACCUGGUGCUGUAAG